rnacentral:rRNA from 1 species
UGGGGAAUAUUGCACAAUGGGCGCAAGCCUGAUGCAGCCAUGCCGCGUGUAUGAAGAAGGCCUUCGGGUUGUAAAGUACUUUCAGUCGGGAGGAAGGUGGUAAGGUUAAUAACCUUAUCAAUUGACGUUACCGACAGAAGAAGCACCGGCUAACUCCGUGCCAGCAGCCGCGGUAAUACGGAGGGUGCAAGCGUUAAUCGGAAUUACUGGGCGUAAAGCGCACGCAGGCGGUUGAUUGAGUCAGAUGUGAAAUCCCCGUGCUUAACCCGGGAAUUGCAUCUGAUACUGGUCAGCUAGAGUCUUGUAGAGGGGGGUAGAAUUCCAUGUGUAGCGGUGAAAUGCGUAGAGAUGUGGAGGAAUACCGGUGGCGAAGGCGGCCCCCUGGACAAAGACUGACGCUCAGGUGCGAAAGCGUGGGGAGCAAACAGG